rnacentral:tRNA from 7 species
AGGAGUGUAGCUCAACUGGUAGAGCACCGGUCUCCAAAACCGGGGGCUGGGGGUUCGAGCCCCUCCACUCCUGCCA